AGCUAAAUCAACUCUUCUCCUUAUCCCUUUGUUUGGAAUUCAUUAUGUUGUCUUCGCUUUGUUUCCUGAACAUAUUGGAGUUUGGGCCAGGUUAUAUUUUGAACUUGUUCUGGGAUCCAAUCAGGGAUUCAUUGUGGCGUUGUUAUAUUGCUUUCUUAAUGGAGAUGUUCAGGCUGAGAUCCAGCGGCACUGGGGCAAAUGGCAAACCUCACUGGAAAGCAAUGUGUUCAACCUGGUGACUCAGGACUUUACAGCAUGAACUAUCAAAUACUAACUGGCUAUAGAUUUGUUCAGGCUGAACAAACAGGAUGA